rnacentral:rRNA from 1 species
UACGGGGGGUGCGAGCGUUGUCCGGAAUCACUGGGCGUAAAGGGCGCGUAGGUGGUUUGAUAAGGGUGUGGUGAAAGUCCGGGGCUCAACCCCGGAUCUGCCGUGCCGACUGUCAAACUCGAGGGCUGUAGAGGCAGACGGAAUUCCGGGUGUAGCGGUGGAAUGCGUAGAGAUCCGGAAGAACACCGGUGGCGAAGGCGGUCUGCUGGGCAGUUGCUGACACUGAUGCGCGACAGCGUGGGGAGCAAACAGG